AUAAUGGGUCAGCGACUUAUAUUCUGUAGCAAGGUUAACCGUAUAGGGGAGCCGUAGGGAAACCGAGUCUUAACUGGGCGAAUGAGUUGCAGGGUAUAGACCCGAAACCCGGUGAUCUAGCCAUGGGCAGGUUGAAGGUUGGGUAACACUAACUGGAGGACCGAACCGACUAAUGUUGAAAAAUUAGCGGAUGACUUGUGGCUGGGGGUGAAAGGCCAAUCAAACCGGGAGAUAGCUGGUUCUCCCCGAAAGCUAUUUAGGUAGCGCCUCGUGAACUCAUCUUCGGGGGUAGAGCACUGUUUCGACUAGGGGGUCAUCCCGACUUACCAACUCGAUGCAAACUACGAAUACCGAAGAAUGUUAUCACGGGAGACACACGGCGGGUGCUAACGUUCGUCGUGAAGAGGGAAACAACCCAGACCGCCAGCUAAGGUCCCAAAGUCAUAGUUAAGUGGGAAACGAAGUGGGAAGGCUCAGACAGCCAGGAUGUUGGCUUAGAAGCAGCCAUCAUUUAAAGAAAGCGUAAUAGCUCACUGGUCGAGUCGGCCUGCGCGGAAGAUGUAACGGGGCUAAACUAUGCACCGAAGCUGCGGCAGCGAUAUGUAAAUAUUGUUGGGUA
rnacentral:rRNA from 1 species